rnacentral:rRNA from 1 species
AGGGGGUCAUCGCGACUUACCAAACCAUUGCAAACUCCGAAUACCGAGACGGACUGUAUGGGAGACACACGGCGGGUGCUAACGUCCGUCGUGAAAAGGGAAACAACCCAGACCCACAGCUAAGGUCCCAAAUUCAGUGCUAAGUGGAAAACCAUGUGGAAAGGCACAGACAGCCAGGAGGUUGGCUUAGAAGCAGCCACCCUUUAAAGAAAGCGUAAUAGCUCACUGGUCGAGUCGGUCUGCGGGGAAGAUUUAACGGGGCUAAGCACUGAACCGAAGCUUGGGGUGCAUAACUUUGUUAUGCGCGGUAGAGGAGCGUUCCGUAAGCCUGCGAAGGUGGAUUGAGAAGUCCGCUGGAGGUAUCGGAAGUGCGAAUGCUGACAUGAGUAACGAUAAUGCGGGUGAAAAACCCGCACGCCGAAAGCCCAAGGUUUCCUUGCGCAACGUUAAUCGGCGCAGGGUGAGUCGGCCCCUAAGGCGAGGACGAAAGUCGUAGUCGAUGGGAAGCAGGUUAAUAUUCCUGCACCUCGCGUAAGUGCGAUGGAGGGACGGAGAAGGUUAGGUGUACCGGGCGUUGGUUGUCCCGGGGAAAGGCGGUAGGUUUGGAUCUUUGGCAAAUCCGGGAUCCUUUAAGACCGAGCACCGAGACGAGCCUUUAAGGCGAAGUCACUGAUACCACGCUUCCAGGAAAAGCUCCUAAGCUUCAGCUUACGCAGACCGUACCGUAAACCGACACAGGUGGGUAGGAUGAGAAUUCUCAGGCGCUUGAGAGAACUCGGGUGAAGGAACUAGGCAACAUGGCACCGUAACUUCGGGAGAAGGUGCACCCUUUUUGGUGGCUCAUGCGAGCUAUAGCUGAAGAGGGUCGCAGUAACCAGGCCGCUGCGACUGUUUAUCAAAAACACAGCACUCUGCAAACACGAAAGUGGACGUAUAGGGUGUGACGCCUGCCCGGUGCUGGAAGGUUAAUUGAUGGGGUCAGCCGCAAGGCGAAGCUCUUGAUCGAAGCCCCAGUAAACGGCGGCCGUAACUAUAACGGUCCUAAGGUAGCGAAAUUCCUUGUCGGGUAAGUUCCGACCUGCACGAAUGGCGUAACGACAGCGGCGCUGUCUCCACCCGAGACUCAGUGAAAUUGAAAUCGCUGUGAAGAUGCAGCGUUCCCGUGGCAAGACGGAAAGACCCCGUGAACCUUUACUAUAGCUUUACACUGAACGUUGAGUUCGUCUGUGUAGGAUAGGUGGGAGGCUAUGAAACUGUGGCGCUAGCUGCAGCGGAGCCAUCCUUGAAAUACCACCCUGUCGUGCUUGACGUUCUAACCUGGGCCCAUUAUCUGGGUCGGGGACCGUGUAUGGUGGGUAGUUUGACUGGGGCGGUCUCCUCCUAAAGAGUAACGGAGGAGCUCGAAGGUACGCUCAGCGCGGUCGGACAUCGCGCACUGUGUGCAAAGGCAUAAGCGUGCUUGACUGCAAGAUCGACGGAUCAAGCAGGUAGGAAACUAGGACUUAGUGAUCCGGUGGUUCUGUAUGGAAGGGCCAUCGCUCAACGGAUAAAAGGUACUCCGGGGAUAACAGGCUGAUACCGCCCAAGAGUUCAUAUCGACGGCGGUGUUUGGCACCUCGAUGUCGGCUCAUCACAUCCUGGGGCUGUAGUCGGUCCCAAGGGUAUGGCUGUUCGCCAUUUAAAGUGGUACGCGAGCUGGGUUCAGAACGUCGUGAGACAGUUCGGUCCCUAUCUGCCAUGGGCGUUGGAGAUUUGAGAGGGGCUGCUCCUAGUACGAGAGGACCGGAGUGGACGAACCUCUGGUGUUCCGGUUGUCACGCCAGUGGCAUUGCCGGGUAGCUAUGUUCGGAAGCGAUAACCGCUGAAAGCAUCUAAGCGGGAAGCGCGCCUCAAGAUGAGAUCUCCCGGGGCACAAGCCCCCUGAAGGAACCAUGUAGACUACGUGGUUGAUAGGUCAGGUGUGUAAGUACAGCAAUGUAUUGAGCUAACUGAUACUAAUGAUCCGUGCGGCUUGACCAU